CUCCUAAGGGCAUCAAACCUCAUUCGCACACUAUUUACCACUUCCCUAUCACCAUCCUGCUUCUGAGAGAAAGAAAUCCCCACAACGAACUUGGUAUUAGCAACAGACAAGGCAACAUCCAGGUCUUUCUUGGCUUUCUUUUGAGACGAGGUAGACCUUGGCCGCCCCACAGGGCGCUUUGUUGGGGCAUCAAUGGAACCAUCUGCGUUCCCAUCUCUAGACACCUCUCCAUUAGACAGGGGGGCCCGGAAAGAUCGAAGUGGCGCUGGAGUGUGGGUCUGUUGGUUGAGGUCAGGAGGGUUGGGUUGCGGUCCAUUAAAAGGGUAAAACGGGGUAAACCCAGUUGGAAAAGGGCCAGAAGGAGGUGCACAAACAAACGGCGGAGUCUGAGGGCUCGAUGGAAACACAGGUACCAAAGUACGCAGCGGUUUGACGUCCAAAACUUUUGAUUUGUCAAACGUAGUCGAAGGAGGUGCAGAAUUGUUACCAGAUCCUCCUUCCAUUACCAAUUACUCAACCCGGAACAAAAAGUAACCCUCCAAUACCCAAAUAAAACCCACCUUAUACUUUCUCCCAAAUCAACACUUCAUUUCAAAUUCCUUGAAGGCGGAUUGGUCGACCGUUAGCGCUUAGCAAGAAAAGAGAAAGAGAGUGAAAAGAGAAUCGGAAAGGGAGGGUCGUGGUGGAUAUAUGGCGGUGGGCUUUGGGUUCCGAAUGUGAAGUAUUAUUGUUUCAGCUCUGUGUGCGCGAGCUCUCUCCCCGAUGCCUCAUUACUACUCCCUCAC
rnacentral:misc_RNA from 1 species